UGAAUGAUGGAUAGUAGAUGGACAUGUGAAUGAUGGAUAGUAGAUGGACAGGUGAAUGAUGGGUAGUAGAUGGACAGGUGAAUGAUGGGUAGUAGAUGGACAUGUGAAUGAUGGAUAGUAGAUGGACAGGUGAAUGAUGGAUAGUAGAUGGACAUGUGAAUGAUGGGUAGUAGAUGGACAGGUGAUUGAUGGAUAGUAGAUGGACAGGUGAUUGAUGGGUAGUAGAUGGACAUGUGAAUGAUGGAUAGUAGAUGGACAGGUGAAUGAUGGAUAGUAGAUGGACAUGUGAUUGAUGGGUAGUAGAUGGACAUGUGAAUGAUGGAUAGUAGAUGGACAGGUGAAUGAUGGAUAGUAGAUGGACAUGUGAAUGAUGGAUAGCAGGUGGACAUGUGCAAGAGGGUAAGUCCCAAAUGGCACCCUAUUCCCUUUAGCGUAUGAUGCACUACUUGGGCCCAUUGGGCUCUGGUCAAAAGCAGUGCACUAUGUAGGGAAUAGGGUGCCAUUUGAGGCGUAACCAAUGAGACGGACAGAGCAGCAGGACUCCAGCCCCCAGAGCCAGCCUGGGUCACAGUACAGACAGGAAGUCCAAGCAUGGUCGUGUUCAUAAGUGCACACCGUAGCAAAACGUUUUGCAACUGAAAACAAAAAAAUUAAGUUUCUUAUUGGACUGGAAGUUCAGGUAGUUCCCUCCGUUGCAGUCUGUUUUCUUCCGUUUGGUGCCUUAUGAACGCACAAGCGUUUCUUAUUGGACAAGCUCAGGUAGUCCCUCCCUGUUUCAGUCCUGUGCCUAAUAAACAUGACCCAGGUGUGUGACCAGUGGCCACAGAAGUCACACUAAGGUCACCACAACACUGGACAGUCCAGGUGGUGAUAGUCUGGUCCCCUCCUCAGGUCACCACAACACAGGACAGCCCAGGUGGUG
rnacentral:lncRNA from 1 species